AUGAAAAUUGGCAGUUCACAGGGGAACCCUUUCUAGCUUUCUCUUGUUUCUUUUUCUUUUUCUCUCCAGGCCGGAUGGGACAGAUGCUCACAAGCUGUGGUCACUAAUCUUUAGCACCUGGUUACCAAAGUGUGCCCUGCAUACCUGCAGCACAGACAUCACUGGGCGCUCCUUAGAAAUGUGGAAUCUGGUUCCACCCUAGACCUCCUACUGAAUCGGAUUUGCAUUUUAACAAGAUCCGCAGCUGAUUCCUCUUAGAGUCUGAGCCAGGCUGACUAGCAGCCUGAGUGGAUUUAGCUCAAGUGCCAGUUGGAUGCCUGUGGAGAGGGACAGAGAGGAGGAGGCUUUCGGUCCCUAUUUGUAAAGGUCCCUAACAGGGACCUCUGUGUCCGGGCUGAUCCUGAAAGUGACUGCACAUUUCGUGUGAAUCUGAGUGUGACUUGGGAGGGUGGAUGAGGAGAGUGUCGUGAAGGCAGGAGAUUUGCUGAAGGGGAAGGCCCCCAAGAACCAGACACUCUUCUUCCAGCCUGGAUGCAAGGACGUCAGAGAGAAUCCUGGCCAUGGGAGGAGAACUCAUGGUCUUCUUUACAGGAUUUUCUAGCUCAUAUGUGCACCCAGAGAACAGCAAUUAGCAGUUGAUCUAACUAGCUUUAAAGAAAAAUGCAUUUUUAUAUAAAUGAAUGGAAGAGAGGUACUGAACUAAAUAACCAGGCCUGGGGGUAGCCUCACUGAUGGGAUUUCAGGGGACAACUUACUGAUCCGCAGUCCCAGAGCCCAGGAGGACAUGCAGACUUUGAAUGUCUGGCAUCAAGAAUCCAGCUCCAUGGAGUAAUGGCGACAAUCUAAGUGGCCUAGAACAGCUGGGAGACAGAGAGAUUCUACACUACUCUUCCCGCACCCACCCCCAGCCAUUGCAAAUGUGCCACCAAAUAGCUAUCAUGUAUGUACCAUGCCACCCUCCUAUUCCACUCCCCUCAACUCUAACAACAGAUGGAAAGGAAGGCAUAAAGACCACCUGACUUCAGCAAAGGAGAAGGAGGUGACUGCUCAAAAUUUGGAGCAAAUAUUGGCAAAGUCUGGUCUAAAUCUAGAUGAAUCUCUGAAAUGGAGGCUGCCAAAUCUGAAUAGAAACAAAGAUUAGGGAAUGCAGGCUCCCAGGGAAAAGGUAUAUCUGCACAUUUAUUUUAUGAAUUUCCGGAGGGUUCCAAUCAGUAAUUGAGAUGGUAUAAAAUAUCACGUUACCCAUGGGGAAAAGCUAUAGAUGAAAGAUGUCAAUUCUGCAGGGAAAAGCAAAGACCUACAGAUGAUAAAAAUAGGAAUUUCUGAAUUGGAUUCCUUUAAGAUCGUAAACUGUAAAUUUGGGUGUGUAACUGUUCCAUUUUCUGAUUGAAGGUGAAAUUAACCAGGUGAAAUGUAUCUGCCUGGGAAGAAACGGUUGUGAAAGGGUUAAUGAAAAAUCCCUGGAUCCUGGGAUUAUAGACAGAGUUCAUUUUAGACAAACAAUUAUAUUGUUCAACUGAGAGAAUGAGGUAUAUUGUACAAAGUUUGGAGAAAUUUUAAAUGCAUAUUUGGGUCCACACUAGUCCUGGUAUUCAAGUGUGGUUAUUUGUACAAAGAAUUAAUUUACCUUUGAAUGGAUUGUUGUCUUCCUUUGGUAUCCAAUAGCCAACUGGGAGUUAAUUUGUUUCUAAAACAGUGCAUGGUUUUUUGGUUUCACCUAGGAGAGUGAAUAGGUCUCUGUCUUUCAAGGUUGCACAUUUUUUCUGCGUUUAGUCUGGGCAGAGAUAAGAACUCCAGGGCUGAGGAAUACAAUAGGCUAUUCUUGUAACUCAGAUGUGACUGGGCACCAUGAGUAGCCUCUGUUCUUGACCCUGCACCCACCUUGAAGUGGGAACUUGUUAUCAUUUCCCAGAAAGCAAAUCAAAUGCAACAAAGGAUUAAUGAAUAAUGACAAUUUUACUGAAAACGCCUUAGGGAGACUGAAAAGCUCUAUGAAUCCUGAGGAGACAGUUUUGAUCCAUGACAAAACCUAAUAAAAAUUCCCAUUGGUCAUAUAUGUUUUCCUUC
rnacentral:lncRNA from 1 species